AAUGCUCAAACCUUCUUGGUUUCUUGACCAAGAUGGCUUUGGACUUUGGAGGUUUUUUGCUGGCUUUGCAGAAAGUCGGCUCCUCUUAAAUGCAUUAGUGGGGUCCCCUUUGCGAAUCCCUGGACGUGAUAAGAUGUUUUCUACGUCUUGGGAUUUGCUCUGUUCAUUGGGAACCUGCUUCCAACCGUCUCGUGAGAGACAUCGUUCGAGCUUGCUCGGCACACGAA
rnacentral:misc_RNA from 1 species